rnacentral:snRNA from 19 species
AACUUUUCUCGAGCUUUCGCUCAGAUCAAGUGUAGUAUCUGUUCUAUUAUGUUUAAACACAUAAUGAGGCUUUCUUAAGCCUUCAUUAGUUUAACCGAAUUUCUUCAGAGGGCGUUAUUCAAACAGGCUUGUUUACAAGUCGAAUACGCGAGCAUGUUCUUGGCCUUGCACUUUGCCUCGAACGUGUACCUCGA